UUCAACUGACUAUUGGGUGGGUGAUUGUUUGCACACUUGGGUCAUUCUACCUGCUGGCUCAGGUGACUGAGACCCUUGAACUCCAGUAGGUCCAUGAGCUCUUCCUCUUACUCCUAUGUACCCUGGUUUCUCUGGGCACAAUGCCCAGAGACCAGCCUCGAGGGAAGACCACUGCUCCCAACAAUCCUCCUGGCUUACUUGCCACCAUGCCACUUCCCCUACGUAACGAACCAUUGUUGGGACUAAAGUACAUCCCUUCAGGAAGAAAACAGCAGCUCUCUACUUUGCAUCAGAGGGUUGCUCGGCCUUGCCUCAGCCGUGCCUG
rnacentral:lncRNA from 1 species